GAACGAGUUGGAAAGCUCAGCCGGAGACUGUGAUAGCCAGGUAUGCGAAAACGACGCUGACCUUAUUCUGUAUUCUCGAGUAGGUCGGGGCACGAGAAACCCUGAUUGAAUCCGGCUGGACCACCAGCCAAGGCUAAAUAUAGUAUAUGAUCGAUAGUGAACUAGUACGGUGACGGAAAGGUGAAAAGAACCCCGGGAGGGGAGUGAAAUAGAACCUGAAAUUUUGUGCCUACAAGGAGUCGGAGCCCAGCACCUUUGAAAUCGAGUGGUACAAUGUAGGCGGAUGUUCUACGUGUACGUUUUGCAAAGUGAUCGGGAAUCAGAUCAAAUUUACUUCGGUCAGACUAGUGACUUAAGACGACGUCUCUCGGAGCAUAAUUCUGGCAAGAAUACUUAUACCAAGAUAUAUGCGCCAUGGAAGGUUGUCUACUAUGAAGCCUAUUCAUCACGUAAGCUAGCGAUGGCCCGUGAGAGGCAGUUGAAAGCUUAUGGACAAGCCAGGACUGCUCUGAAGAAGAGACUAAAUUUGAUCUGAUACUCGAUUUCAAAGGUGCUGGGUGACGGCGUGCUUUUUGUAGAACGAUCCAGCGAGUUAAUUUUUACGGCGAGGUUAAGUCAGAUGAUGAAGCCAUAGUGAAAGCGAGCAUUAACAGUGCGAUUUAGUCGUAAGGAUUAGACCCGAAACCAGGUGACCUAACCAUGAGCAGGUUGAAGCAACCUUAAUCGGUUGUGGAGGACCGAACCAGUGUAUGUUACAAAAUGCUUGGAUGACUUGUGGUUAGCGGUGAAAUGCCAAUCGAACUUGGAGAUAGCUGGUUCUCCGCGAAAUAGUUAUAGGACUAGCGUCGUGUGAUAGCUUACGGGGGUAGAGCUCUGUCAAGAGAUAGGGGGAGCAAUCCUACCUACUCUUAAUAAACUACGAAUACCGUAUGUCUGUAUCACGGCAGUUAGAACGUCGGUGCUAAGAUCGGCGCUCAAAAGGGAAACAGCCCAGACCAUCAUCUAAGGUCCCCAAAUUUACGCUAAGUGGGAAACAAGGUGGAAUUUCUUAAACAGCUAGGAUGUUGGCUUAGAAGCAGCCAUUCAUUUAAAGAGUGCGUAACAGCUCACUAGUCAAGAGAUUUUGCGUGGAAAAUGUAACGGGGCUAAAGUGUUAAACCGAAGACAUGGACUUCUGCUUUUGCAGGAGUGGUAGAGGAGCGUUGAUAUCGCAGUGAAGUCAGACUGGAAAGUCUGGUGGAGCGUUAUCAAGUGAGAAUGCUGGAAUCAGUAACCUUAAGGCAGGUGAGAAUCCUGCCGGUCGUAAGAGCAAGGUUUCCAGGGCUACAGUAAUUGUCCCUGGGUUAGUCGGUCCUAAGCCGAGGCGUAUCAGCGUAGGCGAUGGACAACAGGUUAAUAUUCCUGUACAGGUAGUAGUUGUGAACAGUUCACGGUGAAUGACUGGAGCGGAUUAAUGGUUUAUCCGUCCAAGUCUUUAGGGAACUAAAGAUGAGUGAAAGGUAAUCUUUGGAUUAUUAAUUCCGGGUGAAGUGCUGGCUAGAAAAGCUGAUUCACUUAUGCUGCUGCCUACCGUACCGCAAACCAACACCGGUGCUCGGGUCGAGUAGACCAAGACCUACGUGAGAACCUUCGCUAAGGAACUCGGCAAAAAAGCGUCCGUAACUUCGGAAUAAGGACUGCCCUCUCAUUAAGAUGAGGAUUUGCUAGAAACUCAGCAGAAGAUUCAGAUUACCUUUUAACUGAAUUUUUCGUUGAGACAGAACACAAAACAGGAUUUGUUUAACAAAUUCGUGUCUUUUCUAGUAGUCUAAUCGUCAUUUUGAUGAGAGGGCCGCAGCUAAAGAGCCCACGGAACUGUUUACCAAAAACAUAGGUCUCUGCUAACGCGAAAGCGGAUGUAUAGGGGCUGACUCCUGCCCGGUGUCGGAAGGUUAAGGGGAGAGCUUUACGGUUCGAACUGAAGCCCCGAUGAACGGCGGCGAUAACUAUGAUCGUCCUAAGGUAGCGAAAUUCCUUGUCUGGUAAGUUCAGACCCGCACGAAUGGAGUAAUCAUGUGGGCACUGUCUCGGCGAAGGCCACGGUGAACGUGCAUUGGCGGUAAAGAUGCCGUCUGAUCAUGCCAGGACGAGAAGACCCCAUGGAGCUUUACUACAACUUUGCAUUGAUUAUUGGGACAUUUUGUGUAGAAUAGGUGGAAGACUUUGAAGCAGAUACGCUAGUAUUUGUGGAGUCGAAAUGUGAAAUACCACCCUGAAUGUUUUAGUAAUCUCACUUUUGACCUGAUCGGCCAAAAGGACCGUGCAUGGCGGGUAGUUUAACUGGGGCGGUUGCCUCCUAAAGAGUAGCGGAGGCGUUCAAAGGUUGGCUAACUUCGGAUGGAAAUCGAAGUGAUAGUGUAUGCGCACAAGCCAGCUUGACUGUGAGGAGUACAUUCCAAUCAGAGACGAAAGUCGGAGCAAGUGAUCCGCUGUACGUACAUUUGUACAUGAAUGUGGGAUCGACAGCGCAAACGGAUAAAAGUUACCCUGGGGAUAACAGGCUUAUAGCGCCCAAUAGUUCACAUAGACGGCGCUGUUUGGCACCUCGAUGUCGGCUCAUCACAUCCUGGAGGGGGAGCACCUUCCAAGGGUUCGGCUGUUCGCCGAUUAAAGUGGUACGCGAGCUGGGUUCAGAACGUCGUGAGACAGUUCGGUUUAUAUCCGGUAUGGACGAUAGGAAACUUGAGAAGAUCUACCCCUAGUACGAGAGGACCGGGGCGGACGAACCUCUGGUGUAUCGAUUGUGGCCACCUGCUGCAUUGUCGAGUAGCUAUGUUCGGAAGGGAUAAGCGCUGAAAGCAUAUUAAGCGCGAAGCCCACUUCAAGAUUAGGUUUCCCUAUGAGGACACUGAAAGACUAUCAGUUUGAUAGGCGCAAGGUGGAAGUAUAGUAAUAUAUGGAGCUGAAGCGUACUAAUAGUCCCAUCGCCUUUUUA
rnacentral:rRNA from 1 species